AGGACGAACGCUGGCGGCGUGCCUAACACAUGCAAGUCGAACGCGCUCCAUUCGGUAGCAAUACUGAUGAAGAGCGAGUGGCGAACGGGUGAGUAGCACGUGAGCAACCUGCCCCGAAGACCGGGACAACACCGGGAAACCGGUGCUAAUACCGGAUAUCCCUAUCGGACCGCAUGAUCUGAUAAGGAAAUGGAUUCCGCUUCGGGAGGGGCUCGCGGCCUAUCAGCUAGUUGGUGAGGUAACGGCCCACCAAGGCAUCGACGGGUAGCUGGUCUGAGAGGACGAUCAGCCACACUGGGACUGAGACACGGCCCAGACUCCUACGGGAGGCAGCAGUGGGGAAUCUUGCGCAAUGGGCGAAAGCCUGACGCAGCAACGCCGCGUGGAGGACGAAGGCUUUCUGAGUUGUAAACUCCUUUCAGCAGGGACGAUAGUGACGGUACCUGCAGAAGAAGCACCGGCCAACUACGUGCCAGCAGCCGUA
rnacentral:rRNA from 1 species